rnacentral:rRNA from 1 species
UACAGAGGUCCCAAGCGUUGUUCGGAUUCACUGGGCGUAAAGGGUGCGUAGGUGGCAGGGUAAGUUUGAUGUGAAAUCUCCGAGCUUAACUCGGAAACUGCAUUGAAUACUAUCCUGCUCGAGGUUUGGAAGGGGGACUGGAAUUCUCGGUGUAGCAGUGAAAUGCGUAGAUAUCGAGAGGAACACCAGUGGCGAAGGCGAGUCCCUGGACAACACCUGACACUGAGGCACGAAAGCUAGGGAGCAAACAGG